rnacentral:rRNA from 1 species
UGGGGAAUAUCUGGACAAUGGAGGAGACUCUGAUCCAGCAAUUCUGUGUGCACGAAGACGGUUUUCGGAUUGUAAAGUGCUUUCAGCAGGGAAGAAGGAAGUGACGGUACCUGCAGAAGAAGCGACGGCUAAAUACGUGCCAGCAGCCGCGGUAAUACGUAUGUCGCGAGCGUUAUCCGGAAUUAUUGGGCAUAAAGGGCAUCUAGGCGGAUAUACAAGUCAGGGGUGAAAACUUAGGGCUCAACUCAAAGCUUGCCUUUGAAACUGUAUAUCUAGAGUGCUGGAGAGGUGGACGGAACUACACGAGUAGAGGUGAAAUUCGUAGAUAUGUGUAGGAAUGCCGAUGAUGAAGAUAGUCCACUGGACAGCAACUGACGCUGAAGUGCGAAAGCUAGGGGAGCAAACAGGAUUAGAUACCCUGGUAGUCCUAGCUGUAAACGAUGAUUACUGGGUGUGGGCAUGAAGAGUGUCUGUGCNCGAAGCUAAUGCGAUAAGUAAUCCGCCUGGGGAGUACGACCGCAAGGUUG